ensembl:snRNA
AAAAAGGACUUCCAUCAAGAGUGGCACACAUAGGGCAGUUCAGUUGCUCUGUGUGCGGAAUUGACAUCAAGAGAUUUCAGGGGAGCCGGGCA